rnacentral:lncRNA from 10 species
UAAAUAAAUAAAUAACGUCUACAAAGCCAAGGUGACAACAUGGAAAAAUACCUAGGUAGAAAAAGGCCACCUAGGCUGGGCAUGGGCUCACGCCUGUAAUCCCAGCACUUUGGGAGGCCAAGGCAGGCGGAUGACCUGAGGUCAGGAGUUUGAGACCAGCCUGACCAACGCGGUGAGACCCCAUCUUUACUAAAAAUGAAAAAAUUGGCCAGUUGUGGGCAUCUGUAAUCCCAGCUACUGGGGAGGCUGAGGCAGGAGAAUCGCUUGAACCCAGGAGGCGGAGGUUGCAGUGAGCCGAGAUUGCUCCACUAUACUCCAGCCUAGGCCACAGAGCAAGACUCUGUCUCAAAAAAAAAAAAAAGCCACCUGAAUAUGUGCAGUUGGGGGCAAGCAUGUUGCAUGUUCAGAGCUAGAAUGAAGCCCAUCGAAGCCGUGUUAGGGUGGUGGAGCAGGUGAGAUUUCUUUCUUUUGUGUCUCUCACUGUUUUCCUGGGAUGAGCAUGUGGUGUUCAGUUUAAGAAACGAUGUGGGUCUGAGGCCGGGUGCAGUGCAUCACGCCUGUAAAUGUUCAGUUUAAGAAACGAUACGGGUCUGAGGCCGGGUGCAGUGCAUCACGCCUGUAAAUGUUCAGUUUAAGAAACGAUACGGGUCUGAGGCCGGGUGCAGUGCAUCACGCCUGUAAAUGUUCAGUUUAAGAAACGAUGUGGGUCUGAGGCCGGGCGCAGUGCAUCAUGCCUGUAAUCCUAGCGCUUUGAGAGGCUGAGGUGGGAGGAUCCCUUGAAGCCAGGAGUUUGAAACCAUCCUGGGCAACAUGGUGAGACCCUGUCUCUACAAAAAUAAAAAAUAAAUUAGCCGGGCCUGGUGGUGUGCACCUGUAGUCCUAGCUACUCAGGAGGCUGAGGUGGGUGGAUCCCUUGAACCCAGGAGGCGGAGGUUGCAGUGAGCUGUGAUUGUUCCCCUGUACUCCAGCCUGGGCCACAGAGCGAGACUCCAUCUCUAAAAAAUAACAAACCAGAAAAUGUGAGCCUCGCCUUUUUUCAGGGAUACAACUCCUCGCCAUCACAGUCCAUCACAACCUGGGUGGCGUUAGCUGGAUGUGGCCCCGCCCCGAUUUCCAUGAGACCCCUCCUGAACAAUGUUUCCAGAAAGAGUUGAGCUCCUGAGCCUGGUGCUGACGAAUUGUGUUGGAGACAGCCCUCAGCGCUGAGUGCGUGUAACGAGUGUCCUCUCUCCACAGGUGCGGUCUGCCUGCAGCCUUUCUGCCACCUGUACUGGGGCUGCACCCGGACCGGCUGCUACGGCUGCCUGGCCCCGUUUUGUGAAUCUGUAAUGAAAAGAAAUAUGUUUAUCCUCAGUGUCGGGCAGACAGUGCUUUCCUGCGACAUCAUUAUAAACAGGUAACAUUGCCCCUUCAUCUCGGCAGA